rnacentral:rRNA from 1 species
AGAGUUUGAUCCUGGCUCAGAACGAACGCUGGCGGCGUGGUUUAGGCAUGCAAGUCGAACGGUCCUGAACAUCACCCAAUUUAGCUUGCUAAGUAGGGCGUUCAGGAUAGUGGCGAAAGGGUGAGUAAUGCAAGGGUAACUUACCCUUAAGCUGGGGAUAACCCCGAGAAAUCGGGGCUAAUACCGAAUGUGACCAGAUUAAGGAAUCUUUUUCUGGAGAAAGAUAGGGACUCCGAUUUAUCGGGGCCUGUCGCUUAAGGAGAGGCUCUUGUCCUAUUAGCCUGUUGGUGAGGUAAUGGCUCACCAAAGCUAUAAUGGGUAGCUGGUCUGAGAGGAUGGUCAGCCACACUGGGACUGAGACACUGCCCAGACUCCUACGGGAGGCUGCAGUCGAGAAUCUUUCGCAAUGGGGGAAACCCUGACGAAGCGACGCCGCGUGGAGGAUGAAGGCCUUAGGGUUGUAAACUCCUGUCACUUGGGAUGAACAGCAGAUUUGUUAAUAGCAGAUCUGCCUGACAGUACCUUGAGAGGAAGCUCCGGCUAACUACGUGCCAGCAGCCGCGGUAAUACGUAGGGAGCAAGCGUUGUUCGGAUUUACUGGGCGUAAAGGGUGUGUAGGUGGUCGAGUUAGUCAGUUGUGAAAGCCUUCUGCUCAACAGGAGAAUUGCAAUUGAUACUGCUUGACUAGAGUUCGGUAGAGGAGAGCGGAAUUCUCGGUGUAGCGGUGAAAUGCGUAGAUAUCGAGAAGAACACCAGUGGCGUAGGCGGCUCUCUAGCCCGAUACUGACACUGAAACACGAAAGCGUGGGUAGCGAACGGGAUUAGAUACCCCGGUAGUCCACGCCGUAAACGAUGGGUACUUGGUGUAGGAGGUAUCGAUCCCUUCUGUGCCGAAGUUAACGCGUUAAGUACCCCGCCUGGGGAGUACGGCCGCAAGGCUAAAACUCAAAGGAAUAGACGGGGGCCCGCACAAGCGGUGGAGCAUGUGGUUUAAUACGACGCAACGCGUAGAACCUUACCAGGGCUUGACAUGCUGGUGGUACUGACUCUGAAAGGAGGAAGGACCCUUCGGGGAGCCAGCACAGAUGUUGCACGGCUGUCGUCAGCUCGUGUCGUGAGAUGUUGGGUUAAGUCCCGCAACGAGCGCAACCCUUAUCCUUAGUUGCCAUCGGGUAAUGCCGGGGACUCUAAGGAGACUGCCUGUGAUAAGCAGGAGGAAGGUGAGGAUGACGUCAAGUCAUUGUGGCUCUUACGCCCUGGGCUACACACGUGCUACAAUGGUCGGUACAAUGGGUCGCAAGACCGCGAGGUGGAGCCAAUCCCCAAAAGCCGGCCCCAGUUCGGAUUGGAGUCUGCAACUCGACUCCAUGAAGUUGGAAUCGCUAGUAAUGGCGCAUCAGCUACGGCGCCGUGAAUACGUUCCCGGGCCUUGUACUCACCGCCCGUCACAUCACCCGAGUUGAUUGCACCUGAAGUCACUGGUCCAACCCUGAGCUUGUCGAAGGGAGGAAGGUGCCGAAGGUGUGGUUGGUAAGGGGGAUGAAGUCGUAACAAGGUA